CACGUAGUUAGCCGUGGCUUAUUCAAGGGGUACCGUCUUCUGCUCUUCCCCCUUAAAAGAAGUUUACAACCCGAAAGCCUUCUUCCUUCACGCGGCGUUGCUGGGUCAGGCUUGCGCCCAUUGCCCAAUAUUCCCCACUGCUGCCUCCCGUAGGAGUCUGGGCCGUAUCUCAGUCCCAAUGUGGCCGGCCAACCUCUCAGUCCGGCUACUGAUCGUCGCCUUGGUGGGCCGUUACCUCACCAACUAGCUAAUCAGACGCGAGGCCAUCUUCCAGCGAUAAAUCUUUGGCGUCAGAGUCAUGCGGCUCCAACGCAUCAUGCGGUAUUAGCAGUCGUUUCCAACUGUUGUCCCCCUCUGGAAGGCAGGUUCCUCACGCGUUACUCACCAGUCCGCCACUAAGCAUUCCCAUCCGUUGUCCGAAAACUCCUUCAGGGGUGCUCCGUUCGACUUGCAUGUGUUAAGCACGCCGCCAGCGUUCGUCCUGAGCCAGGAUCAAACUCU
rnacentral:rRNA from 1 species